rnacentral:lncRNA from 1 species
CGCCCGGCUAUUUUUUUGUAUUUUUAGUAGAGACGGGGUUUCACCGUGGUCUCGAUCUCCUGACCUCAUGAUCCGCCCGCCUCAGCCUCCCAAGGUGCUGGGAUUACAAGCGUGAGCCACUGCACCCUGCCAACAGAAUGCUUUUUACCAAGUCCUCAGAACACAUGCUCCCACACUCUCAGCUACCCGUGCUCCCACACUCUCUUGGUCUCUCUCCUUUCCCUCUCCUCUCCUUCAACUCCUUCCCCAACUAACCACGACCCCCACAAAACUCACCCGACUUCCCCCUUAAAUGUUGGCCCUACUAAACAGGAGGCAGUUUCUCUGCGCAGUAAGAUACAACUUCCUCUUCAAGGGAGACCACUUGGAGACCCAAGUGUGUGUUUUGGAAAAAUGAGAGGGAGGUGCCUGCAGAGGGAGAGGCUAAAGGGAGAAGAAACGAGGAUGUGGGUGGAAAAAAGAUUAGAAGGAAGUGAGAAGGUGGGGAGAAGAAUACUGAGGGGGUGGAGGAGCUGUGUCUAAGGCACAGUAUUACCUUUAAAUAGAGGAAGAGGAAAACUUCCUGCGAGAUAGAAGGUAAUGAAUUAAGAGGGGGAGAUUUUGAUUUGGCCAUUUUGACUUGACCAUUUAGACACUGUGAUUUCUACAGAGUUGAGAGAGAUUUUGAGAAAGCCCCAAUAUUGAAGUUCAUUCUUUGACAGGAGUGAGGUGGAUAUUACCAUUAUUUAGUGAUCUUUUCCUGUGUUGCAGACCCAGAACCAUUGCACCUGUCGCUAUGACUACAAAUGACUACAAUUACUCCCAUUUCACAGGGGAAGAGAGUCGAAUUAUCUUGGAGCUUCUCCUUUGAUACAACAAUUGUACAGGAACCUCAGUCAACUGGCCUGUUGUACAGAAAGUUCUUAAGCCUGGUGUCAAGAGUACUGGGAACCAUGAAUUCUCUUCUUGCCCCUGCGUCUUUGAAGCUGACCCCUGGAAGAGCAGAAAUCCUUGGCUCAGGUCCUGGAGUGGAUGGGAGACAGUUUACUGAUAAACUGAUUAAAAAUUUUGAAGAGGGUUAGUGAGUACACUCCUUGAUCUUUUUGCCUGAGAGCCUGUUGAGUGUGACUGGCUUUGAGGCAUCAUCAAUCAUUGGAAUCUGUGUUGACAACAAAUGAGAGUACUUCUGCAUGUGUUCAAGGUGGAAAUGAGCCUUAUGGAGCGUAACGAAGAGCCCUCAGGAAGCCCUUGUGAGGCUGUCUUCAAGAAUAAUCAUGGUCCUAGUGAUGGUCUCUAGAAGCAGUAUAGUGUGAUUAAGGCAUUCAGGGGAUAUAAAGCAAUAGUGCCCCUGUAUCUAGCAUGGUAUGCCUCAGAGAGAAUAAUAGUAGUAACUUUCAUUGAGCACUUGUUAUGUGCCAGGUUCUCUUCUUACCAGAUUACAUGUACUACCUCAUUUAAUUCUUA